GGCUCCAGCCCCCUGUGACCCUAACGGGAUAAGCGCACAAGAUAAUGGAUGGAUGGAUGGAAGUGAAUCAUAUUAUCACAGCACAAACUCUUCACUAAUUAAGAAAUAAUAUGAUCCUCUAUCACCCUCUAGUGGCACUUGGAUAUGACUAUUUUCAAGCUAAGAAUGCAGUUUGGACAACGCCCCCUUGACUUAAGCAUAACAUGGUUCUUCUUUCACUCAGCUUUAGGGACACCAGGCAUGGAUCUCACAGGUCCCUGUACUGUUUAGACACACUCCGGUCUUUAUUCCUGAGGGAGGGAGACCAAAGACUGUUGGCUGGGUGCUGCUUCAAGAGACAAUUUCAAAUAAUAUGCAAUAU